UACAGAGGUCCCAAGCGUUGUUCGGAUUCAUUGGGCGUAAAGGGUGCGUAGGCGGCGCGGUAAGUCGGGUGUGAAAUCUCGGAGCUUAACUCCGAAACUGCAUUCGAUACUGCCGUGCUUGAGGACUGGAGAGGAGACUGGAAUUUACGGUGUAGCGGUGAAAUGCGUAGAUAUCGUAAGGAAGACCAGUGGCGAAGGCGGGUCUCUGGGCCGAUACUGACGCUGAGGAGCGAAAGCGUGGGGGAGCGAACAGG
rnacentral:rRNA from 1 species